GGGUUGUGAGGUUAAGCGACUAAGCGUACACGGUGGAUGCCCUGGCAGUCAGAGGCGAUGAAGGGCGUGCUAAUCUGCGAUAAGCGCCGGUAAGGUGAUAUGAACCGUUAUAACCGGCGAUACCCGAAUGGGGAAACCCAGUGUGAUUCGUCACACUAUCAUUAACUGAAUCCAUAGGUUAAUGAGGCGAACCGGGGGAACUGAAACAUCUAAGUACCCCGAGGAAAAGAAAUCAACCGAGAUUCCCCCAGUAGCGGCGAGCGAACGGGGAGGAGCCCAGAGCCUGAAUCAGCAUGUGUGUUAGUGGAAGCGUCUGGAAAGGCGCGCGAUACAGGGUGACAGCCCCGUACACAAAAGCGCAUAUGCUGUGAGCUCGAUGAGUAGGGCGGGACACGUGGUAUCCUGUCUGAAUAUGGGGGGACCAUCCUCCAAGGCUAAAUACUCCUGACUGACCGAUAGUGAACCAGUACCGUGAGGGAAAGGCGAAAAGAACCCCGGCGAGGGGAGUGAAAAAGAACCUGAAACCGUGUACGUACAAGCAGUGGGAGCCCCACCACUAAGCCAGUGGUGAACUCCACAUACGCAUCCUUUGCUGAGGAGACGGUUAACGGAGCGAAAGCGACGUUCAACCUCAAAAGAAGCAGAGGGGGCUUAGUGGUGGGGUGACUGCGUACCUUUUGUAUAAUGGGUCAGCGACUUAUAUUCUGUAGCAAGGUUAACUGUAUAGGGGAGCCGGAGGGAAACCGAGUCUUAACCGGGCGUUAAGUUGCAGGGUAUAGACCCGAAACCCGGUGAUCUAGCCAUGGGCAGGUUGAAGGUUGGGUAACACUAACUGGAGGACCGAACCGACUAAUGUUGAAAAAUUAGCGGAUGACCUGUGGCUGGGGGUGAAAGGCCAAUCAAACCGGGAGAUAGCUGGUUCUCCCCGAAAGCUAUUUAGGUAGCGCCUCGUGAAUUCAUCUCCGGGGGUAGAGCACUGUUUCGGCUAGGGGGCCAUCCCGGCUUACCAACCCGAUGCAAACUGCGAAUACCGGAGAAUGUUAUCACGGGAGACACACGGCGGGUGCUAAUGUCCGUCGUGAAGAGGGAAACAACCCAGACCGCCAGCUAAGGUCCCAAAGUCAUGGUUAAGUGGGAAACGAUGUGGGAAGGCCCAGACAGCCAGGAUGUUGGCUUAGAAGCAGCCAUCAUUUAAAGAAAGCGUAAUAGCUCACUGGUCGAGUCGGCCUGCGCGGAAGAUGUAACGGGGCUAAACCAUGCACCGAAGCUGCGGCAGCGACACCGUGUGUUGUUGGGUAGGGGAGCGUUCUGUAAGCCUGUGAAGGUGUGCUGUGAGGCAUGCUGGAGGUAUCAGAAGUGCGAAUGCUGACAUAAGUAACGAUAAAGCGGGUGAAAAGCCCGCUCGCCGGAAGACCAAGGGUUCCUGUCCAACGUUAAUCGGGGCAGGGUGAGUCGACCCCUAAGGCGAGGCCGAAAGGCGUAGUCGAUGGGAAACGGGUUAAUAUUCCCGUACUUGGUGUUACUGCGAAGGGGGGACGGAGAAGGCUAUGUUGGCCGGGCGACGGUUGUCCCGGUUUAAGCGUGUAGGUAUGUGUUCCAGGUAAAUCCGGUUCACUUUAACACUGAGGCGUGACGACGAGGCACUACGGUGCUGAAGCAACAAAUGCCCUGCUUCCAGGAAAAGCCUCUAAGCAUCAGGUAACAUCAAAUCGUACCCCAAACCGACACAGGUGGUCAGGUAGAGAAUACCAAGGCGCUUGAGAGAACUCGGGUGAAGGAACUAGGCAAAAUGGUGCCGUAACUUCGGGAGAAGGCACGCUGACACGUAGGUGAAGUGAUUUACUCACGGAGCUGAAGUCAGCCGAAGAUACCAGCUGGCUGCAACUGUUUAUUAAAAACACAGCACUGUGCAAACACGAAAGUGGACGUAUACGGUGUGACGCCUGCCCGGUGCCGGAAGGUUAAUUGAUGGGGUCAGCGCAAGCGAAGCUCCUGAUCGAAGCCCCGGUAAACGGCGGCCGUAACUAUAACGGUCCUAAGGUAGCGAAAUUCCUUGUCGGGUAAGUUCCGACCUGCACGAAUGGCGUAAUGAUGGCCAGGCUGUCUCCACCCGAGACUCAGUGAAAUUGAACUCGCUGUGAAGAUGCAGUGUACCCGCGGCAAGACGGAAAGACCCCGUGAACCUUUACUAUAGCUUGACACUGAACAUUGAGCCUUGAUGUGUAGGAUAGGUGGGAGGCUUUGAAGUGUGGACGCCAGUCUGCAUGGAGCCGACCUUG
rnacentral:rRNA from 1 species